UACGUAGGGUGCGAGCGUUAAUCGGAAUUACUGGGCGUAAAGCGUGCGCAGGCGGUCUGUUAAGACCGAUGUGAAAUCCCCGGGCUUAACCUGGGAACUGCAUUGGUGACUGGCAGGCUUUGAGUGUGGCAGAGGGAGGUAGAAUUCCACGUGUAGCAGUGAAAUGCGUAGAGAUGUGGAGGAAUACCGAUGGCGAAGGCAGCCCCCUGGGCUGAGAUUGACGCUCAGGCACGAAAGCGUGGGGAGCAAACAGG
rnacentral:rRNA from 1 species